rnacentral:lncRNA from 1 species
UCAGCCAUGGGCUGAGUGGGGGGAGGGAGAGCAGCUUUGCUCCCUGCAAACCCCUGAGUUGCUUGAGUCAGCACUGCUGAUGCUUGUGUGUGCUCACCAGAAGCACAUUCCGAGGGGCUGAGGGCCUUAGGAUUCUCAGAAGCGGCAUAGGUGGCCCAACCCGGGCAUGGAUGCCUAAGAGAGAUGUCUGGAGGAUGGCUUUUCUCCUUUGUCAGUGAGGGUUGUAUGUGGAGGAGGACCCCUAAAUCCUGCUGCUUGCCUUUAUUUUGGGAUGGGAGGAAAUUCAAGACCCAUCUGGAUGCCUUCCUGUGUGACCUAUGGUAAGGAACAUGCAGAGGGUUGGACUUGAUCACCUCUAGAGGGCCCUUCCAGCCCCUACAAUUCUGUGAUUCCGUGAAAUCCAACCCUCAUGAAGGACAGAAAAUUUAUCUGCAGAGGAAUCGCCGAGGGUACGGCUAGCUGCCACCUGGGGCAAGCCAGCAGCUCAAUGCUACUCUGAAUAACCAUAACUUGCUAUAUGCUUAUCUUGUAUAAACUACCUGAUGGCUAAAUGUUGGUCUGAAUGGGAUGCCUUUUCCCCUCAGGAAAAUUUUGGCAGGAAAUUUUUGUAAGCAGCCAACGGAAAUUAAAUAAAUGGAAAAGUGGCCCCCAAGCAAAGAGGGAUCCAAAGUCUUCUGCUGUCUCCACUCAAAUUGAGUAGCACCUUCAUGUAAUAGUCUUCCCGUUGAGAUCAGUGAGGUUGUUUGAAUAAAAGAAGCAUUUAAGUGUAGAAGAAAGUAAGAGAAAAGAGACUGCAUUCAAAUCGAAUGACCAAAUUUCAAGUUUCCUUGAACCCCAAGGAAAGGACAGAUCCUUUAAGCUGUGAAGAAGUAACUGCUAGAAAAAUUCCAUGAAAUCAAUUCUAAAGUUUAUCACAGAAUAAGACUCAGUUAAGGGCCAGAAAGGAAAUUGAACUGUUCAAAGAUAUGGCAGUGUGGCAAAAGGGAGCAGCUCUGCUAGAAUGACUUUCUGUACGUAUUUGGUGUAUCUGCAGUUCUUUGUUGUGAAUCUUGACACACUGGUAAUUCUCUCUUCCAAAGUUCAGAUCACUGGUUUAGUUCUAAUUUACUGCAGUGCCUGGUUUUUGUGCCAGAUUUUUUCUCUGGGGGAAAAAAAAAGUUAAUGUUCAGAUAGAUAUACACCGAGGGAAAUUAUUUUAUAUAUGCAUGAUGUGUAUGUAUAAAAGUAUACGUAUGUAUGUAUAUGGAUAGAAAGAUGUUUCGUUUUCCCCUGCAGGGAUGUAAUUUCAACUGGAUCUAACAGGACACAAUACAUAACACUCAAAUUAGAGCAGCUGCAAGAAUAUGCAGCAGAACUAUUCUGCUGGCUGUUUUUGGAAACAUUUUAGCCAUCUCCAUUAUACCAGCAUGACUGCGUUCCUAUGGGAACAAGCUUCCUCAUAGCAAGAAUCUUCUAUAAUGAGAGCAGGUGACUCCUGGUUAAAAACCUGGGGCUUGGCACACAACUUAAUAUUUUGUAAAUAUCAAAUAUUCUGCAGUGCUUUGUCUAAACUCACUCAUUUUCAGAAGCAAUUAGAUUUUUUUUUCAACUCUGUCAAUGAGGCCAGACACAACAAGCCCGGUUAAAACUGUCACUGGGACUUGUUAUUAGAUCUGCAACAGUAAAGGCCUGUUUGCACCUUCAUAGCAACUAUGAUGUUGCUUGACAAGCUGCAAGCAAGAGGCGGUACCCCUUUUGAAGGGCACCGUACUGCAGCAAUAAGGCUGCAGUAGGCUUUAAUAGAACCACUUUGUGAGGGAGCUUCUUAGCAUCUAACUCUGUUUUAUCAUCUGCCCUAAAUAUCUCCUCCGAAGAAGGUUCUUGAGUUGUAUAUUGUGAGAGUAUUACAUUGUCUUAGUGUUUACUUACAGCAGGAAUGAUGCUUACAGGAGGGAACCAUAGAACUUUACAGCUCUCUCAAGGAUGCCUUGGAAAUAAAGAAUUAUAGGAGAAAAAAACCAUCAUACUGACUGAUGAGUUGGAGAACGAAGCAGUCACUGUAGCUAGCUGAAUGAUUCUUGGAAGCGGCGUUCAGAGCCUUCAUACCUUGCGCUGAAGCUGAUCAAAUGUAUCUGCUUUAUUUUUAACUCCCAACUGGUAAAACUGCCAGCAAAGUAUCCAUGGCGCACGUAAGUGAUACGAAGGAGGCAGAACUUAAUCUGCAGCUCUUUGCCAGCAGAUAAUGAAUGAACAUAGCUGGAAGUUGUAGCAAGGCCUAGAUUCGAAUUUCAAGGCAAGCUUGUAAGUUGUGGGGAAGUACGCAGUUAAACUAAGUCAGCUGAGCUGUGUAUCGAGGAUAUAGAUGUAAACAAAUGGAUCAAAGAUGUCAGAGUUGUAUCCUCUGGUCUUGUCCUUAUCCCUCCUAUAAUCUCAGCUGCAACUCCUCCGGCUCAAUUCUCAGUGCUGGUUCAUCUGUCUACCUCUGCUGGUGCAGUCCUGGCUUUCCUUGCUGAGGCUCUGGUCCUGGCUGCAGCUCCUCUUGUACCCUGACUGUGCUGAGCCAUCCACCUACUGAAGGCAGGGGUACCUCAUCUGUGGCAUUUAUUUCUCUUGCUCUCCUUAAGGCAGAUGAUGGCAAGUUGGCCCUGAAGUAAUCCCUGAGGUGCCUGAGACUCGGUGAACUUCAGGCACUUGUGGAAACCUCCACGAAAACUGCUGGAGUAACAGCCUUGUUGAUGAUAUGGCAUGACCAGUGAUGAUGGUGUUGAGAAAUUGAAACACGUUUCAAGAGAGUCUGCUGGCUGCCCUGCUUCACGAGGAAUAAAGCACAUCUGAUGCAGGACACAGCAGUGCUUUCUCUUGUGCUGGAGGAUGGGUGCUCAGGCAGGACAGAGUGCCGGAGGAACAACAUCUCUGCUCUGACUCCUUCUGACAGGACUGAUGGAGCUGGUGAAUUUUCUGGCGAAUUAAACUCCAUGAGAGCUUCUGCCUGGAAGCCAUCAUCCUGCCUCUGUACUUGCCUCCAUUCAGUAAGGAUCUGUGAUGUUCUUGGAGAUCUCCUGCAGAGCUUUCCCCUGUGUGGCAGAAAUUACCCUGUCCACCAUCUGAGAGAACUCUGGUACCUCCCAUAGUCACACAGAGCACUUGGAGGUGCCCUGCCCCUCUCAUAGUUACCUGAAUGCCCCCCAUCAGCUCCAUCACAGCCUUGACUGAACUGGCUGCUGUGUUGCACCCUGUGCGUGUUUUGUAAUUAAGUCACUAGGCGAGAGGGUAGGUUUCUGUCUGGGUAUAUUUUUUUGUUUGUGUUUUAAUUAUUUUAUUUUAUUUUAUUUUGAGCCAAGUUCUAAAGUCCACGCUUAGGGCCUCACAUGCUCAGAUUUCCUUUAACUCUUGAUAGGGGGAAAGAACUGAGUCGCGACCUUAUGGUCUGAACGUGAGCAAACAAUCUGUUACAGUGAACACACGCAGAGGAAAAGAACAGCGAUGAUUCGAGGCAGCAGGAUCCUCAUUGACUUGAGAUCAUCAUUUUCUUGAAGGCAGGGGGUAAUGGCUGGCUGUCACCCACACGAUUAUAUCCUCACACUGUUCCUGGACUGACCUGAAAUGAAACCUCCAAUGCCAGCAGGGAUAAAUCCCAGGGUAGGGGAGGCUGGGAUGUCUGUGCCCCACCAGCCUUUCUGUGCCCGUGCUGCCAACCUGGAAGAGGUUUGUGGAGCCUUUGUGUUCGUUGUGAUGUUUUUGCUGUUAGGUCUAGAAUGUGGGGAUUGAGAUUGUUGCCCCGUGCUGCAGAUCCCUCACCAAAAUCAUAGCUGAGCGUUCCCUGUGCUUCUGAAGGUAUAAUGGAAAAGCUUUACAGCACAGCCCUUAUUUCCAAGAUGUGCCCGUAGUUUGGUUAAAAAAAACUGUUGGAUUCUCAAGCUUAUUUUAUGCUGGCGUUAAAAACAUGUGUUCUUCCAGGAACGCAACAUGAAUGAAUGUGAGCUCUAAAUUAUGCUGACCUUUCAAUUAGAAAUUUUCCACCACCUAUCAUUCCAGGACAAAUAUUGAUUGAACAGUCCAUGUGUGUGUGUGAAGCGCAGCCUGACAGCCGGCGUGACCUUCCUCUUCUGUGCCUGAUUGCCAAUGGUGGCUUUAAGCUUCCUUUUGUACCAAAACCUCGUUUCAUAACUGAACUCCCUGCUCUUUGGAACCUGAGUUUCUUCGUUUGUUUGCUCAGCGAGCUGAGAUCUGUUGGGAUAUUUCUCUGUUUGAUUUGGUUGUUAGCUUUGUUGCCGUCCGAAAUGGCCCAGGGCUGCUUUGUUCAAGGCCAUUUUUCUGGAAGGGUUUUGUUCUGCACAAGUUUGCGGGUAUCACCCGUGUGAUUUCUGCCCCAUUGUGUGCUGCUCGCCCGCUCAGGGCCAUAUUGUGAUUGCAUGUGUGCUUGGCUCCGCAGCUCUCAGCAUCCACUGAGCAUGGGAAAAUGUCUUUCCGCCGGGAGAUUUCAUCACUGAAUUUUCAUAUCUCCAAAUCCUAUAGAAUUUUUUUUUUUUUUUUGAGGUUACAAGAGAUCAAUUUCCAUAAACCAAAGAAUUAUAGGAUGGCUUAGUUUGAAAGGGACCUUUAAGGUCAUCUAGCUCCAACCCCUGAAUGCUCUUAAAAAUAUGAAUGAAGGACAGCGUUAGCCUUCCCCAGACUGUCCUGGUUUUGGGGCAGAAACAAAGACGUAUCUUCAUGUUUCAAUGUAGCAGGUUUCUCCAACGGUGGAUUCUCCAAAGGAUGGAUUUGGUCCCCAGCAAGUACUUUGCAGCAGUGCGAUCUGCUUUUGCAGGGAGAGUCAGCACAAAGCCACCCCGCACUCCCCAUAACAUCGAUGAACGGGGUGAGUUUUAUUCAAUAGGCCUCAGUCUUUUUAAUAAAAGCACUAGUUUGUAUUACAGAGUCACAGAAUUGCAGGGGUUGGAAGGGACCUCUUAGAUCGUUGAGUCCAACUCUCUCUAAAGGAGGUUCCCUAUAGUAGGUCGCACGGGUAGGCAUCCACAGAAGAAGACUCCACAACCUGUCUGAGCAGCCUGUUGCAGUGCUCCAUCACUCAGACAGUAACCGAUUUCUUCCUUGUGUUAGUAUUGAACUACCCAUGUUUCAGUUUCUGCCCGUUGCUCCAUGUUCUACUGCUGCACACCACCCUCAUCAACAUGGCUCCCGCACUGUAGGUAUUUAUAUAUAGUUAUGAGAUCCCCUCACAGCCUUCUCUUCUCCAGACUGAAGAGUCCCAGGUCUUUAGGUAUCUUAGCCUAGAGCCCCCUGGAUUCUGCCCAGGGGAAAGAUGGGGGUGGGAGCUGAGGCCUGGAUGCAUUUGUCUCUCAUUCGUGCCUUCACCAAAGCUGCUGAUGUGCAGGCCUCCAGCUCCCACCAAGGGCACACACACCCACAGAGCACGCAGUGCUGCCCUCUGACCCCUGUCAGGAACGUUACUUCUUCUCAUGGUUAUGAAAGAUACUCAUACUGCUUUCUUCUGAGAUUAUGGUUUGUACUUCUAUAUAUAAUGCAUAUACAUACAUAAAAUGUAAACACAUGCGCACACUAUAUAUAUGCACACUAUAUGUAUAUAUAUAUCCCUUCCUCCCAUCCCAUUUCCUUCUCUUCUCACAGCCCAAACGUUCCCAGUGAGAGGACGGCAGAUUUCCAUCACAAAUGCUUUUCCCCUGACUGUUUUUUGUUUUCUAAGCCUGUGACAUGAAAGCAGACAUAAUAUUUUCAUUUUGGUUCUCUAUAAAUAAACAGAAAUCUCAUUUCCA